UACAGAGGGGGCAAGCGUUGUUCGGAAUCACUGGGCUUAAAGGGCGCGUAGGCGGGCUCUCAAGUCCGGGGUGAAAUCCCACAGCUCAACUGUGGAACUGCCUCGGAUACUGGGGGUCUCGAGGGUGGUAGGGGUAUGCGGAACUAUCGGUGGAGCGGUGAAAUGCGUUGAUAUCGAUAGGAACUCCGGUGGCGAAGGCGGCAUACUGGACCACAUCUGACGCUGAGGCGCGAAAGCCAGGGGAGCAAACGGG
rnacentral:rRNA from 1 species